AAUGCUUAGUACGGCGAGUGAGCGGCAAAGCUCAAUUUGAAAUCUGGUACCUUUGGUGCCCGAGUUGUAAUUUGGAGAGUACCACUUUGGGACUGUACUUUGCCUAUGUUCCUUGGAACAGGACGUCAUGGAGGGUGAGAAUCCCGUGUGGCGAGGGUGUCAGUUCUUUGUAAAGGGUGCUCGAAGAGUCGAGUUGUUUGGGAAUGCAGCUCUAAGUGGGUGGUAAAUUCCAUCUAAAGCUAAAUACAGGCGAGAGACCGAUAGCGAACAAGUACAGUGAUGGAAAGAUGAAAAGAACUUUGAAAAGAGAGUGAAAAAGUACGUGAAAUUGUUGAAAGGGAAGGGCAUUUGAUCAGACAUGGUGUUUUGCGCCCCUUGCCUCUCGUGGGCUUGGGACUCUCGCAGCUCACUGGGCCAGCAUCGGUUUUGGCGGCCGGAAAAAACCUAGGGAAUGUGGCUCUGCGCCUCGGUGUACAGUGUUAUAGCCCUGGGGAAUACGGCCAGCCGGGACCGAGGA
rnacentral:rRNA from 1 species